CCUACGGGUGGCAGCAGUGAGGAAUAUUGGUCAAUGGGCGGAAGCCUGAACCAGCCAAGCAGCGUGAAGGAUGACGGCCCUACGGGUUGUAAACUGCUUUUAUAGGGGAAUAACACGCCUUACGUGUAGCGGUUUGCAUGUACCCUAUGAAUAAGGACCGGCUAAUUCCGUGCCAGCAGCCGCGGUAAUACGGAGGGUUCGGGCGUUAUCCGGUUUUAUUGGGUUUAAAGGGUGCGCAGGCGGAGGUGCAAGUCAGCGGUCAAAUUGCGGGGCUAAACCCCGUACUGCCGUUGAAACUGGAUCCCUGGAGUGCGCGAGAGGUAGGCGGAAUGCGUGGUGUAGCGGUGAAAUGCAUAGAUAUCACGCAGAACUCCGAUUGCGAAGGCAGCAUACCGGCGCGCAACUGACGCUGAUGCACGAAAGCGUGGGUAUCGAACAGGAUUAGAUACCCCAGUAGUC
rnacentral:rRNA from 1 species